UUACUCACUUCCGAGGUACAUAUAUUAAAAUUGAAAAGGUAAAGAGAAGUUUAGCUUGUUCCCCAUGCAAGGAUGGCUUGCAAAAUCGUGAAGUGUCCCAAAUGUUC
rnacentral:snRNA from 1 species